AGAGGGAUAGCUGGGUCAAAUGGUGGUUCCAUUUCCAGUUUCCCAAGGAAUCUCCAUACUGCUUUCCAGAUUGGCUGCACCAACUUGCAGUCCCAACAGCAAU
rnacentral:pre_miRNA from 1 species